rnacentral:rRNA from 1 species
CAGGCUUAACACAUGCAAGUCGAGGGGCAGCAUGGUCUUAGCUUGCUAAGGCCGAUGGCGACCGGCGCACGGGUGAGUAACACGUAUCCAACCUGCCGUCUACUCUUGGACAGCCUUCUGGAAGGAAGAUUAAUACAAGAUGGCAUCAUGAGUCCGCAUGUUCACAUGAUUAAAGGUAUUCCGGUAGACGAUGGGGAUGCGUUCCAUUAGAUAGUAGGCGGGGUAACGGCCCACCUAGUCUUCGAUGGAUAGGGGUUCUGAGAGGAAGGUCCCCCACAUUGGAACUGAGACACGGUCCAAACUCCUACGGGAGGCAGCAGUGAGGAAUAUUGGUCAAUGGGCGAGAGCCUGAACCAGCCAAGUAGCGUGAAGGAUGACUGCCCUAUGGGUUGUAAACUUCUUUUAUAAAGGAAUAAAGUCGGGUAUGGAUACCCGUUUGCAUGUACUUUAUGAAUAAGGAUCGGCUAACUCCGUGCCAGCAGCCGCGGUAAUACGGAGGAUCCGAGCGUUAUCCGGAUUUAUUGGGUUUAAAGGGAGCGUAGAUGGAUGUUUAAGUCAGUUGUGAAAGUUUGCGGCUCAACCGUAAAAUUGCAGUUGAUACUGGAUAUCUUGAGUGCAGUUGAGGCAGGCGGAAUUCGUGGUGUAGCGGUGAAAUGCUUAGAUAUCACGAAGAACUCCGAUUGCGAAGGCAGCCUGCUAAGCUGCAACUGACAUUGAGGCUCGAAAGUGUGGGUAUCAAACAGGAUUAGAUACCCUGGUAGUCCACACGGUAAACGAUGAAUACUCGCUGUUUGCGAUAUACUGCAAGCGGCCAAGCGAAAGCGUUAAGUAUUCCACCUGGGGAGUACGCCGGCAACGGUGAAACUCAAAGGAAUUGACGGGGGCCCGCACAAGCGGAGGAACAUGUGGUUUAAUUCGAUGAUACGCGAGGAACCUUACCCGGGCUUAAAUUGCAGAUGAAUUACGGUGAAAGCCGUAAGCCGCAAGGCAUCUGUGAAGGUGCUGCAUGGUUGUCGUCAGCUCGUGCCGUGAGGUGUCGGCUUAAGUGCCAUAACGAGCGCAACCCUUGUUGUCAGUUACUAACAGGUUCCGCUGAGGACUCUGACAAGACUGCCAUCGUAAGAUGUGAGGAAGGUGGGGAUGACGUCAAAUCAGCACGGCCCUUACGUCCGGGGCUACACACGUGUUACAAUGGGGGGUACAGAGGGCCGCUACCACGCGAGUGGAUGCCAAUCCCCAAAACCUCUCUCAGUUCGGACUGGAGUCUGCAACCCGACUCCACGAAGCUGGAUUCGCUAGUAAUCGCGCAUCAGCCAUGGCGCGGUGAAUACGUUCCCGGGCCUUGUACACACCGCCCGUCAAGCCAUGAAAGCCGGGGGUACCUGAAGUACGUAACCGCAAGGAGCGUCCUAGGGUAAAACUGGUAAUUGGGGCUAAGUC